ACAGUGACUUAUCAUGCGCCCUUGUCGUGGGUCGGGAGCUCAGUAGGCUUCAUUCUCUGGAUGGAGCUGAAGCCAACAGCAUG
rnacentral:ribozyme from 1 species